AACGAACGCUGGCGGCAUGCCUAACACAUGCAAGUCGAACGAGAUCCUUCGGGGUCUAGUGGCGCACGGGUGCGUAACGCGUGGGAAUCUGCCCUUAGGUUCGGAAUAACAGUUAGAAAUGACUGCUAAUACCGGAUGAUGACGUUAAGUCCAAAGAUUUAUCGCCUGAGGAUGAGCCCGCGUAGGAUUAGCUAGUUGGUGUGGUAAAGGCGCACCAAGGCGACGAUCCGUAGCUGGUCUGAGAGGAUGAUCAGCCACACUGGGACUGAGACACGGCCCAGACUCCUACGGGAGGCAGCAGUGGGGAAUAUUGGACAAUGGGCGCAAGCCUGAUCCAGCAAUGCCGCGUGAGUGAUGAAGGCCUUAGGGUUGUAAAGCUCUUUUACCCGAGAUGAUAAUGACAGUAUCGGGAGAAUAAGCCCCGGCUAACUCCGUG
rnacentral:rRNA from 1 species